rnacentral:lncRNA from 1 species
GGGGGGGGGAAAGGGGGGGGGGAGGGAAAUGUCACCCGGCGGGCGCGGUGCUGAGGGACGGAGCGAGGGGACGGAGGGACGGGGAGCGCCGCCGGCUGUCAAGCAGAGCAGUUGCCAAGUGAUCUUCUCCACAGCACCCACGAACUUUGGCCUUACACUGAAGAGGACUCAUCAAAUGCCUUGGGAGAUACAACACAGAAUUGGAAGAGAAGCAUGGAUCUACACGAAGAGCAGUCCGCUGCAUUCUUGGUGUGUGGAGGAACGGGUCCUGUGCUCACUGUUGUUACUCCCACAUAGGCGGACUCUGUAACUGAUUAUAUGUGGGUAGGGCCCUAUUGAAAUUAAGGAGAUUCUGCAGUAGUGCGGGGUUCUGUUUGUGUGACCCUACUGUGCCUUCUUACUGUGAAUUCUGUCAGUGUAUCAUGGGUUGUGCUGGAACCUGCCUUUUGGGAUAAUGUAAGUUCUGCUUUUCCCCCAACUGUACUUUAGACGUGAAAUAAUCAUUAAAAAAAAAAAAAAAGUUUUGAAUUAGAAAAUAAAUAUAAUUUACAUGCAUUCUUUUAAUUAUGU